CUUGGUCAUUUAGAGGAAGUAAAAGUCGUAACAAGGUUUCCGUAGGUGAACCUGCGGAAGGAUCAUUACAGUGUUCGCUGCCCUCACGGGUAGCAAACCUCACCCUUGUGUAUUAUAUCUUUGUUGCUUUGGCACGCCGCCUUCGGGCACUGGCUUCGGCUGGCUCGCGCGUGUCAGAGGACCCCAAACUCUGAAUGUUAGUGUCGUCUGAGUACUAUCUAAUAGUUAAAGCUUUCAACAACGGAUCUCUUGGUUCUGGCAUCGAUGAAGAACGCAGCGAAAUGCAAUAAGUAAUGUGAAUUGCAGAAUUCAGUGAAUCAUCGAAUCUUUGAACGCACAUUGCGCCCGGUGGUAUUCCGCCGGGCAUGCCUGUUCGAGCGUCAUUUAAACCAAUCCAGCCUCGUGCUUGGGUCUUGGGCCUUUCGCCUCUAGGCGGGCCUCAAAAUCAGUGGCGGUGCUGCCAGGCUCUAAGCGUAGUAAUUCUUCUCGCUACAGGGUCCUGGUGGAGGCUUGCCAACAACCCCAAAUUUUCAAAGAUUGACCUCGGAUCAGGUAGGGAUACCCGCUGAACUUAAGCAUAUCAAUAAGCGGAGGA
rnacentral:rRNA from 1 species